GAUGAACGCUGGCGGCGUGCCUAAUACAUGCAAGUCGAGCGAACAGAUAAGGAGCUUGCUCCUUUGACGUUAGCGGCGGACGGGUGAGUAACACGUGGGUAACCUACCUAUAAGACUGGGAUAACUUCGGGAAACCGGAGCUAAUACCGGAUAACAUUUGGAACCGCAUGGUUCUAAAGUGAAAGAUGGUUUUGCUAUCACUUAUAGAUGGACCCGCGCCGUAUUAGCUAGUUGGUAAGGUAACGGCUUACCAAGGCAACGAUACGUAGCCGACCUGAGAGGGUGAUCGGCCACACUGGAACUGAGACACGGUCCCGACUCCUACGGGAGGCAGCAGUAGGGAAUCUUCCGCAAUGGGCGAAAGCCUGACGGAGCAACGCCGCGUGAGUGAUGAAGGGUUUCGGCUCGUAAAACUCUGUUAUUAGGGAAGAACAAAUGUGUAAGUAACUGUGCACGUCUUGACGGUACCUAAUCAGAAAGCCACGGCUAACUACGUG
rnacentral:rRNA from 1 species